UACGAAGGGUGCUAGCGUUGUUCGGAAUCACUGGGCGUAAAGCGCGCGUAGGCGGUUAUUCAAGUCAGGGGUGAAAUCCUGAGGCUCAACCUCAGAAUUGCCCUUGAAACUAAAUAACUAGAGUGUCGGAGGGGAUAGCGGAAUUGCUAAUGUAGCGGUGAAAUGCGUAGAUAUUAGCAGGAACACCGGUGGCGAAGGCGGCUAUCUGGACGACAACUGACGCUGAGGCGCGAAAGCGCGGGGAUCAAACAGG
rnacentral:rRNA from 1 species